UUCUUGUCUUUUUUUCUUUGGAAUAAAUCUUCUCAUUAUGUUCAUUAAUGGAAGAUUUCCAAACAUAAAUAGGCAAAGCUUCGCACAUCAACAAAAUCAUUGGUUUCAAUUUCCUCCAUCUUCAAAAAGAAAUUAGUGUUUCUGCAACUUUAUAGCAAUGGCGGUGGAUAUGCUUCCUGUUGAAAAAGAAUGGCAACAGAGAUGGUGUACGCUGUUGGCGGUGGGCUGCUGAAAAAUAAUGGCGGCGGAGAUGGUGGGUGGUGCCGUGGUGGGCUGCUGAGCAAAGAUGGUGGCGUAGAUGGGUUGGGCGGUUGGUGGUGGAUUGCUGAGCAAAUAUGGCGGCGGAGAUGGGUUGGGCGAUGGGUGGUGGGCUAUUAGGCAAAGAUGGCGGCGAAGAUGACUCGGGCGGCGGGUGCUGGGCUGUUGAGCAAAUAUGGCGGCGGAGAAGAUCUGGGAGGUGGUGGUGGAGGCUGGUCCCGUGAAAGAUGAACUUUUUUUUCUUUAAUUAAGUUUUGGAAAUUGCAAUUUAACCACUUUAAGUUUUCAUAAAUUCAAUUUGGUCCCUGAGUUGUAAAAAUUACUCAUUGAAGGACUGGGUCUUUUGUUUUUGCAAAACCCUCGCUGGGUAUUUUGUCUUUUCACAGCUAGUCAAUGGUUAAAAGUUAAAUGGGUCAAGUAUGCAACCUAAAAAUUAGCACAGGGGGGUUUUUGCUAAUUUUAUUAUGAUAGGGGGGGAUUGCGCAGAUGCAAUU
rnacentral:lncRNA from 1 species